UGUUGCUGAAUCGAUUAAAGAAGAGAAAAAGAGAAAACAAAUGGAAGCUAUUGCCGAGGACCUAUUUAACAGUGAAAAGGGAAGACGACGUGGUACAGCUGGUUCCCUGCAUGGGUUGUUUGCUCGUAAAUAAAUAUGGUAAGUUUCUUCACAGAGCUGAAGAACUAUAAAUUCUUUUCCCUUGUCUGCAAAGCACAUGCAGCUUUGUGCUUUAGAAGGUUCCAUUCGUAUGAAUCAAUUUGCUGACCUAGAUCUCGUUGAAAGGUUUUAUACAUUUGUCCUUUUUUCAACGCAUUUCUUAGACAAAGACUCUGUUUUUUCCUCUUUUUUGCGGCUGAAAGAAGCAAUUCUUCAGCUCUCUUGUAAGCAUUGAGCUUAGGGCUUCCAUGACAAUCACAAAAAGAUGAGGAGAGAGAGAGGGUUUCCUUGUCUUAGGCCUCUUUGAGACUUAAAGUAGCCUCCGGGGCUUCCAUUAACGAGAACUGAAAGUCUGACAGUAGAAGUGUUGAUCCAUUAUAUCCACCUAGGGGUGAGCAUAGUUUGGGCAAACCCGAAAUCCAAAUUGAAAUCCGAAUUUUUUGGAUUUUAAAUUUGGAUUUUCGGAUUACGGAUUGAAUUUUGGAUUUAAUUUUUACAAUUUUUGGAUUUGGGGUUGGAUAUUGGAGUUUGUACUUCGGAUUUUUGGAUAUCUGAAAUCCGAAUUUUUUAUAAUUUAUAUUUAGUCCAUUAUUAUUGGAUGAUAUGCCAAUAAUAAUAAGUUCAUUCCCCUACCCAUUAGAUAUUAUCUCAUAUAUUCAAUAUUAGUUACUAAGUUAAUGUCAGAAUAGUUUCAUUUGGACAUGGUUUUACUAUUACUACUUCUUAUCGGCUGUAUUAAUGUCUCUGUUGCAUUUUCUUGAUAAUAAUUUCAUUACUUGAAUGCUAUAUUUGGAUGAUUGCAGUGAUAAUGAGAAAACUUUCAGACAAUUUAAGAUAAGUACUUCAUUUGGAUAUUCAUUUUUGUAAAAAAAAAAACCCUCAACUUAUAAGCCCAAACCGAUUAAUCCAAAACCGAGCUUAAAAUAUC